rnacentral:lncRNA from 1 species
AUGAUAUUACAUACGAAAAGUACAGAGCCAGCUACAAGUUUCACAUCACAUACGACAACUGCUCCAGCUACCAGUUUCAAAACACAAAUGACAAGUCCAGAGCUAAGUACAAGUUUCACAUCACAUCCAACAACUUACAAUGCAAAUACCAGUUUCACAUCACAUACAACAACUCUUGAGCCAACUGCGAGUUUCACAGCUCAUAUGCCAGCUCACAAUCUAAAUACUAGUUUCACAUCACACACAACAAUUACUGAGCUACUUGCAAGUUUCAGAUCACAUACAUCUACUCACAAUCCAAAUACAAGUUUCACAUCACAUAUGUCAACUCCUGAGCACAAUACCAGUUUCACAUCUCAUAAGAUAAGUCUAGAGCCAACUAGAAGUAUCACAUCACACAAGACAACUCAAAAUCCCACUACAAGAUUGACAUCACAACUGACAACCCCUGAGCCAAUUAAAAGUUUUACUUCACAUACGACAGCUCACAAUGCAAAUACAAGUUUCACAUCACACGCACAAAGUCCAGAGCCAACUACCAGAUUCACAUCGCAAACAACAAGUACACAGCGAACUACAAGUUUCACAUCACAAACGACAAGUCCAGAGCCAAAUACAAGUUUCACAUCACUUCAAAAUAGAAAUUUCAUAUCAGAAACAACAACUCCCAAGAUAUUACAUACAAAAACUCCAGAGCCAAGUACAAGUUUCACAUCACAUCAAACAACUUACAAUACACAUACCAGUUUCACAUCACAUACAACAAAUCACAAUCCAACAACAAGUUUAACAUCACAUACAAAAAUUCCAGAGCCAACUGCAAGUUUAACAUCACAUACAUCAACUCCUGAGCCAUUUAUCAAUAUCACAUCAGAUACGUCAACUCUCAAGAUUACUACCAGUUUCACAUCACGUACAACAACCGGUGAGCCAACUACAAGUUUCACAUCACAAAUGAUGACUCCAGAGCUAACAACAGGUUUCACAUCACAUACGUCAACUUACAUUCCGACCACAAGCUUCACAUCACAUAGAACUACUCACAAUCCCAAUAUGAGUUUCACAUCACAUACGACAAGUCCAGAGCCAACUAGAAAUAUCACAUCACACAAGACAACUCAAAAUCCCAUUACAAGAUUGACAUCACAUACGACAGCUCACUAUGCAAAUACCAGUUUCACAUCACAAACGACAAGUCCAGACCUAACUACAAGACUCAAAUCAAAUACGACAAGUCCAGUGCUAAAUACAAGUUUCACAUCACAUCCAAAUACCAGUUUAAUAUCAGAAACAACAACUCAAGAGCUAACUACUAGUUUGAUAUUACAUAUAAAAAGUACAAAGCCAGCUACAAGUUUCACAUCACAUACGACAACUUCUCCAGUCGCCAGUUUCACAUCACAAACGCCUAGUCCAGGGUCAAAUACAAGUUUCACAUCACAUACGUCAACUCCUGAGCCAACUACAAGUUUCACAUCACAAACGACAAGUCCAGAGCCAAGUACAAGUUUCACAUCAGAAACGACAACUUACAAUGCAAAUACCAGUUUCAUAUCAGAAACAACUACAGAGUCAUCUACCAGUUUGAUGUUACAUGUGAAAAGUCUAGUGCCAAAUAGCAGUUUCACAUCGCAUGUGACAGAUCACAAUCCAAAUUACAGUUCCACAUCAUAUACAACAACUCUUGAGCCAACUACGAGUUUCACAGCCCAUAUGCCAGCUCACAAUCCAAAUACUAGUUUCACAUCACAUACAACAACUACUGAGCUACUUGCAAGUUUCACAUCACAUACAUCUACUCACAAUCCAGAUACAAGUUUCACACCACAUACGUCAACUCCUGAGCACAAUACCAGUUUCACAUCUCAUAUGACAAGUCUAGAGCCAACUACAAGUAUCACACCACACAAGACAACUCAAAAUCCCACUACAAGAUUGAGAUCACAUACAACAACUCUCGAGCCAACUACCAGUUUCACAUCACAUACAACACAUUACAAACCAACUACAAGUUUCACUUCACAAACGACGACUCCCAGGCCAACUUCCAGAUUAACAACACUUACGACAACUAACAAUCUAACUGCCAGUUUCAUUUCAUAUAUGACAACUAAUGGAUAUACUGAUCCCUCAAAGGCAUCGUAA